rnacentral:rRNA from 1 species
UGGGGAAUCUUGGACAAUGGGCGCAAGCCUGAUCCAGCCAUGCCGCGUGGAUGAUGAAGGCCUUAGGGUUGUAAAAUCCUUUCAGCGGGGACGAUAAUGACGGUACCCGCAGAAGAAGCCCCGGCUAACUUCGUGCCAGCAGCCGCGGUAAUACGAAGGGGGCUAGCGUUGUUCGGAUUUACUGGGCGUAAAGCGCGUGUAGGCGGGCUGGAAAGUUGGGGGUGAAAUCCCGAGGCUCAACCUCGGAACUGCCUCCAAAACUUCCAGCCUGGAGCAAGAUAGAGGCAAGUGGAAUUGCGAGUGUAGAGGUGAAAUUCGUAGAUAUUCGCAGGAACACCAGUGGCGAAGGCGACUUGCUGGAUCUUUGCUGACGCUGAGACGCGAAAGCGUGGGGAGCAAACAGG